UGCUUUACACAUGCAAGUCGAGCGGCAGCGCGGGGCAACCUGGCGGCGAGCGGCGAACGGGUGAGUAAUGCAUCGGAACAUGUCCAUUCGUGGGGGAUAGCCCGGCGAAAGCCGGAUUAAUACCGCAUACGCCCUUAGGGGGAAAGCCGGGGACCGCAAGGCCUGGCGCGAAUGGGUUGGCCGAUGCCCGAUUAGCUAGUUGGCGGGGUAAUGGCCCACCAAGGCGAUGAUCGGUAGCUGGUCUGAGAGGAUGAUCAGCCACACUGGGACUGAGACACGGCCCAGACUCCUACGGGAGGCAGCAGUGGGGAAUUUUGGACAAUGGGGGCAACCCUGAUCCAGCCAUUCCGCGUGAGUGAAGAAGGCCUUCGGGUUGUAAAGCUCUUUUGUCCGGAACGAAACGGUUGUGGUGAAUAGCCACGACUACUGACGGUACCGGAAGAAUAAGCACCGGCUAACUACGUGCCAGCAGCCGCGGUAAUACGUAGGGUGCGAGCGUUAAUCGGAAUUACUGGGCGUAAAGCGUGCGCAGGCGGUUUUGUAAGCCAGAUGUGAAAGCCCCGGGCUUAACCUGGGAAUGGCAUUUGGGACUGCAAGGCUUGAGUGCGGCAGAGGAGACUGGAAUUCCUGGUGUAGCAGUGAAAUGCGUAGAUAUCAGGAGGAAUACCGAUGGCGAAGGCAGGUCUCUGGGCUGACACUGACGCUCAUGCACGAAAGCGUGGGGAGCAAACAGGAUUAGAUACCCUGGUAGUCCACGCCCUAAACGAUGUCGACUGGUUGUUGGGGGUUUGACACUCUCAGUAACGAAGCUAACGCGUGAAGUCGACCGCCUGGGGAGUACGGCCGCAAGGUUAAAACUCAAAGGAAUUGACGGGGACCCGCACAAGCGGUGGAUUAUGUGGAUUAAUUCGAUGCAACGCGAAAAACCUUACCUACCCUUGACAUGUCCGAGAGCCUGGAGAGAUUCAGGUGUGCCCGAAAGGGAAUCGGAACACAGGUGCUGCAUGGCUGUCGUCAGCUCGUGUCGUGAGA
rnacentral:rRNA from 1 species